rnacentral:rRNA from 1 species
GACGAACGCUGGCGGCGUGCUUAACACAUGCAAGUCGAACGGUGUGGCGAACGGGUGAGUAACACGGGGUUGAUCUGCCUUGCACUUCGGGAUAAGCUGGGGAAACUGGGUCUAAUACCUGAUAGUACUAGAUGAGCUCGGGGCCUAUCAGCUUGUUGGUGGGGUAAUGGCCUACCAAGGCGGCGACGGGUAGCCGGCCUGAGAGGGUGUACGGCCACAUUGGGACUGAGAUACGGCCCAGACUCCUACGGGAGGCAGCAGUGGGGAAUAUUGCACAAUGGGGGGAAGCCUGAUGCAGCGACGCCGCGUGGGGGAUGAAGGCCUUCGGGUUGUAAACUCCUUUCGACAGGGACGCGGUACCUGUAUAGGAAGCACCGGCUAACUACGUGCCAGCAGCCGCGGUAAUUC